UACGGAGGGUGCAAGCGUUGUCCGGAUUUAUUGGGUUUAAAGGGUGCGUAGGUGGUUUGAUAAGUCCGGGGUGAAAGCCCACAGCUCAACUGUGGAACUGCCCUGGAUACUGUCAGACUUGAGGGUAGACGAGGUUGGCGGAAUAGAAGGUGUAGCGGUGAAAUGCAUAGAUACCUUCUAGAACCCCGAUUGCGUAGGCAGCUGACUAGGCUACACCUGACACUGAGGCACGAAAGCGUGGGGAGCAAACAGG
rnacentral:rRNA from 1 species